rnacentral:rRNA from 1 species
GAUGAACGCUGGCGGCGUGCCUAAUACAUGCAAGUCGAGCGAACAGACGAGGAGCUUGCUCCUCUGACGUUAGCGGCGGACGGGUGAGUAACACGUGGAUAACCUACCUAUAAGACUGGGAUAACUUCGGGAAACCGGAGCUAAUACCGGAUAAUAUAUUGAACCGCAUGGUUCAAUAGUGAAAGACGGUUUUGCUGUCACUUAUAGAUGGAUCCGCGCCGCAUUAGCUAGUUGGUAAGGUAACGGCUUACCAAGGCAACGAUGCGUAGCCGACCUGAGAGGGUGAUCGGCCACACUGGAACUGAGACACGGUCCAGACUCCUACGGGAGGCAGCAGUAGGGAAUCGUCCGCAAUGGGCGAAAGCCUGACGGGGCAACGCCGCGUGAGUGAUGAAGGUCUUCGGAUCGUAAAACUCUGUUAUUAGGGAAGAACAAAUGUGUAAGUAACUAUGCACGUCUUGACGGUACCUAAUCAGAAAGCCACGGCUAACUACGUG